CCUACGGGUGGCAGCAGUGAGGAAUAUUGGUCAAUGGCCGGAAGGCUGAACCAGCCAAGCCGCGUGAGGGAGGAAGGCGCAGAGCGUCGCAGACCUCUUUUGCCGGGGGACAAAAGGCCGGACUCGUCCGGUCCUGCGGGUACCCGGAGAAAAAGCAUCGGCUAACUCCGUGCCAGCAGCCGCGGUAAUACGGAGGAUGCGAGCGUUAUCCGGAUUUAUUGGGUUUCAAGGGUGCGUAGGCGGAAGGUUAAGUCAGUGGUCAAAUGUCGGUGCUCAACACCGGCCUGCCGUUGAAACUGGUCUUCUUGAGUGAGCGAGAAGUAUGCGGAAUGCGUGGUGUAGCGGUGAAAUGCAUAGAUAUCACGCAGAACUCCGAGUGCGAAGGCAGCAUACCGGCGCUCAACUGACGCUGAGGCACGAAAGCGUGGGGAUCGAACAGGAUUAGAUACCCCUGUAGUC
rnacentral:rRNA from 1 species